UGUUGCCACAAGAUGUUCAUCUACUUGUU
rnacentral:piRNA from 1 species